UUUAGACAGGGCAUGGCUGGAAGAUCAUGGCCAGGGAUCCAAGCUUCUUCUUCUCUAGGGCUGUAAGGACCCAUGAUGCACCCAAGGAAUCCGUCCCCUCUUCUGCUGAGGGUUAAGAGCCUGGACAACGUUUCCUGUGCAGCCUGGGCCAGGAAGCCAAGGGCUACUGCAAAGUCAGUGAGAAGGACCCCGGGAUGUUCGAGGGCCCACUGCCUGUGGAGGAAGGCAGGGUGGCAAGUCUUUGGUAGACACAGGUCCGGAAUCUGUCCUCCAGAGUUAUCACUGAGGGAAAAGGAUGGAG
ensembl:lncRNA